GACGAACGCUGGCGGCGUGCUUAACACAUGCAAGUCGAACGGAAAGGCCCUGCUUUUGUGGGGUGCUCGAGUGGCGAACGGGUGAGUAACACGUGAGUAACCUGCCCUUGACUUUGGGAUAACUUCAGGAAACUGGGGCUAAUACCGGAUAGGAGCUCCUGCUGCAUGGUGGGGGUUGGAAAGUUUCGGCGGUUGGGGAUGGACUCGCGGCUUAUCAGCUUGUUGGUGGGGUAGUGGCUUACCAAGGCUUUGACGGGUAGCCGGCCUGAGAGGGUGACCGGCCACAUUGGGACUGAGGUACGGCCCAGACUCCUACGGGAGGCAGCAGGGGGGAAUAUUGCACAAUGGGCGGAAGCCUGAUGCAGCAACGCCGCGUGCGGGAUGACGGCCUUCGGUUUGUAAACCGCUUUCGCCUGUGACGAAGCGUGAGUGACGGUAAUGGGUAAAGAAGCACCGGCUAACUACGUG
rnacentral:rRNA from 1 species